rnacentral:rRNA from 1 species
AGCGAACGCUGGCGGCAGGCUUAACACAUGCAAGUCGAACGGGCAUAGCAAUAUGUCAGUGGCAGACGGGUGAGUAACGCGUGGGAACAUACCUCUUGGUUCGGAACAACACAGGGAAACUUGUGCUAAUACCGGAUAAGCCCUUACGGGGAAAGAUUUAUCGCCGAGAGAUUGGCCCGCGUCUGAUUAGCUAGUUGGUGUGGUAAAAGCGCACCAAGGCGACGAUCAGAGCUGGUCUGAGAGGAUGAUCAGCCACAUUGGGACUGAGACACGGCCCAAACUCCUACGGGAGGCAGCAGUGGGGAAUAUUGGACAAUGGGCGCAAGCCUGAUCCAGCCAUGCCGCGUGAGUGAUGAAGGCCUUAGGGUUGUAAAGCUCUUUUGUACGGGAAGAUAAUGACGGUACCGUAAGAAUAAGCCCCGGCUAACUUCGUGCCAGCAGCCGCCGUAAU